rnacentral:rRNA from 1 species
GAUGAACGCUAGCGACAGGCUUAACACAUGCAAGUCGAGGGGCAGCACGGUGUAGCAAUACAUUGGUGGCGACCGGCGCACGGGUGAGUAACGCGUAUGCAACCUACCUCUCAGAGGGGAAUAACCCGGCGAAAGUCGGACUAAUACCGCAUACAACAGGGGUUCCACAUGGAAAUAUUUGUUAAAGAUUUAUCGCUGAUAUAUGGGCAUGCGUUCCAUUAGAUAGUUGGUGAGGUAACGGCUCACCAAGUCUACGAUGGAUAGGGGUUCUGAGAGGAAGGCCCCCCACACUGGUACUGAGACACGGACCAGACUCCUACGGGAGGCAGCAGUGAGGAAUAUUGGUCAAUGGGCGAGAGCCUGAACCAGCCAAGUCGCGUGAAGGAUGAAGGAUCUAUGGUUUGUAAACUUCUUUUAUAUGGGAAUAAAGUGAGGAACGUGUUCCUUUUUGUAUGUACCAUAUGAAUAAGCAUCGGCUAACUCCGUGCCAGCCGCCGCGGUAAUAC